rnacentral:rRNA from 1 species
UGGCCCAGAUCGUUUACCGUGAAAAAAUGAGAGUGUUCAAAGCAGGCAGACCAUUUCUUUCUGCCACCGAAUACAUUAGCAUGGGAUAAUGGAAUAGGACCCUGUCCUCCUAUUUUGCGUGUUGGUUUUCGAGGACCGGGUAAUGAUUAAUAGGGAUAGUUGGGGGCAUUAAUAUUUAAUUGUCAGAGGUGAAAUUCUUGGAUUUAUGAAAGAUUGACUUCUGCGAAAGCAUCUGCCAAGGAUGUUUUCAUUAAUCAAGAACGAAAGUUAGGGGAUCGAAGACGAUCAGAUACCGUCGUAGUCUUAACCAUAAACGAUGCCGACCAGCGAUUAGGAGACGUUGAAUACAAAACACCACCGUCGGGUCGGCCGUCCUUGGCCGUCGUGCGCGGCGACGCGCGCGGCGGCGAGGGCGGUGUCUGCCCGACGGCCCGGUGAAUGACUCCCCUAGCAGAUUUGUGAGAAU